GACGAACGCUGGCGGCGUGCUUAACACAUGCAAGUCGAACGGUGAAGCGCCUUCCUUUUUGGUGGGUGUGGAUGAGUGGCGAACGGGUGAGUAACACGUGAGUAACCUGCCCCCUUCUUCUGGAUAACCGCAUGAAAGUGUGGCCAAUACGGGAUAUUCUGGGUCUGUCGCAUGAUGGGUCUGGGAAAGAUAUUGUUUCGGUGGGGGAUGGGCUCGCGGCCUAUCAGCUUGUUGGUGGGGUGAUGGCCUACCAAGGCGGUGACGGGUAGCCGGCCUGAGAGGGUGGACGGUCACACUGGGACUGAGACACGGCCCAGACUCCUACGGGAGGCAGCAGUGGGGAAUAUUGCACAAUGGGCGCAAGCCUGAUGCAGCGACGCCGCGUGAGGGAUGGAGGCCUUCGGGUUGUGAACCUCUUUCGCCAGUGAAGCAGGCCUGCCUCGUUUGUGGGUGGGUUGACGGUAGCUGGAUAAGAAGCGCCGGCUAACUACGUG
rnacentral:rRNA from 1 species